rnacentral:lncRNA from 1 species
UAAUGCUUUGUGUCUUGUUUCUUGUUGUCCCAGCAUAAACUUAACCCUAUGUACGCCUUGUCCAGUCACCUGCUACCUGCCACCUUGGAACUCUGGACUGCUAUUAUGCUGAAUGCCCUUAACUGUCACUCCCCCGCCUGACAGAAAAUAAGGACUUGGGGUCACUUCCCCCGAAUUUCGCCCUCUCUCAGCAUGAAGUGGCUUGGAGACGACGUCGCCCACUUUUCCUUAGAAAUGGAAGGUGGAAAUUGACAGUAGGGAAAUGUAACAGGGGUCCCUUCACCUUCCGAAUAUGGCCCUCGUUGCUCUAAGGCUUUUUUUUUUUUUUUAAAGAACAUGUUUUAGGUGGCUGUGGUUGUGGCUCAGUGGUAGAGUGCUUGCGUAGUGUGAGUGAUGCAUUGAGUUCAUUCCUCAGCACUCCAUUAAAAAAAAUAAAUAAAGGUAUUGCAUCCAUCUACAACUAAAAUACUAAAAAAAAGAAGAGGAAGAACAUUUAUUUUGUCUCUCCUCCUCUCUUCCUUCCCUAACAAGAUUAGGGAGACAGUGUUCUCUUUUCCUCUUUUCUUCCCCUAGUUAAUUGCCCUUGAACACACCCACUAUGGGAAGGAGAUGCCUGCUGAGGAUCUGGGAAGUGAGUACCUCCCAAAUUAACAAGUGAAUCCUAACACACCUGGGACACCACCUCCCCACCCCCCCACCCCCAGAGCACACCUGGAAUGUAACCCUUGAAGAGUUCCUUAAAUUAAAACUACCCCCCACCUCCCUCAUCCCCCAUCCCCUAAUCUCCCCCCCCCCACACCCCUCCCUCCUGAUGUAGAGAGUCACAGCCUUUGGGACAGGAGUCCCCUCUGUUUCUCCUUUGCUAACAAAGUAAUAAAGCUUCUUUUUCCUUUUUCUCAAACCCAUGUCCUCAUUAUUAAAUUAGCAUUUAUUGGCAUUGGGGACAGUGACCAAGCUUUUGUGACAAACCCAGGGGCAUUUUACCACUGAGCCACAACACUAGCCCUUUUUAUUUUUUUAUUUUGAGACAGGGUCUCACUAAGCUACUGAGGCUGGCCUCUAACUUGUGAUCCUCCUGCCUCAGCCUCCCCAGUCACUGGGAUUACAGGUGUGCAUUGCCGUGCCUGGCUUUACACAUCAUUCUUAAACAUAUUAUUCUUUAGGUUAGUGGAAGAUGGAAAAAUUCCAACUAUGCUUUCAGAAGAGGUCCUGGGGUCUUGUAAGUAUGAGUCGUAUGAGAAGUUUAACUCUACCUAGUAAACAUUGAGUGGCUAUUAGGGCCCUUCUAAGAGCUAGAAGUAGUAGGGCUGAGUCAUUUGGGGGACUAUGGGAUUGUGUUUGAAUGAGCCCCAGACAUUGAAGUUUUGCUUAUGCACUGUUCAUUGAGAUUUGUUGUUUGUUUAUUUGUUUAUGUGGUGCUGCAGGUUGAGGUCAGGGCCUUGCACAUACUAGCCAAGUGCUCUGCCACUGAGCUACCGCUCCAACCUUCACUGAGCAACUACUAUGUGCCAGCCCUUAAGUCACUGAGGAUAUAUCCAGGAAGAAGGAUAAUAAAUGUACAAAACAACUUAUUUCUAUGAAAUUGUGAUUGCAUACCACUAAAGAGACUGCUAUGCUUAGAAUGUGUCCCCUAAAAUCGUGUUGGAGACAAAUCCUCAAUGCAUCAUCACCAUUGGGAGGUGGGCCCUAAAGGAGAUGUAUAGAUCACGAGGGCUGAGCCUCAUACAUGGAUUAAUCUGCUGUGGAAAACACUUCUGGAGUGGGCUAUCUCUCUCCUGCUUGUUUCCAUGUGAGAACAGGAUGCUUCUUCCCUCCAGAGGAUGCAGAGCUCAAGGGGCCAUCUUGGAAGCAGAGCGGGGGCCCUAAUCUUUUGGCACAUUGACCUUGGACUCUCUAGCCUCCAGAACUGUAAGAAAUAAAUUUAAAAAAAAAUUUUUUUUGGUACCAGGGAUUGAAUCCAGGGGCACUCAACCAUGGAGAGCCACAUCCCCGGCCCUAUUUUGUAUUUUAUUUAGAGACAGGGUCUCACUGAGUUGCUCAGCAACUCACUUUUGCUGAGGCUGGCUUUGAACUUGCGGUCCUCCUGCCUCAGCCUCCUGAGCAGAUGGGAUUACAGGCAUGUGUCACCCUACCCAGCCGAGAAAUAAAUUUCUGUUGUUCAUAAACUACUUAGUCUGUGGCGUUCCAUGAUAACAGCACAAAGGGGACUAAAUCAGAAAGACACAUGGGGAUUGGAAGCAAACCAAAGCCAAGGUUAAGGAAGUAACAUAGACCUGAGGCUGAAGCAGUAGAUUGUGAUGGCCAAACCAGAGCCGGCUG